UGAAAGCCGUUUGUAAUAUAUUUGUAUCAAGAAACUGCUUUAAUCAAUAGUCUGACACAUACUUUGUAAACGUUUAUUUAUUCUGUUGUGUAUUGACCUUCCCAUUAUACAGUUAAAAGUUUCAACAGCAUUAGCAAAGAUCGGUUGAACUAAUAAUAGAUUACAAAGUUAUUUUAAGAAUUACAUCACAGAUAAAGUUCACGGAUGUCAUGCAAGCAAUUUGUAAACAACGCUUUGCAUGAGGUAAAUUCCAUUGAUAUUUUUAUAUUACUUUCUGACUAAUUCGAUGGCAUAAUUACCAAAUCAAUCAAAACCUGUAGGAAAUAGGCAUUGUUUGUAUAGAAAACGUAAUAGUGAUACUAGGUACAGACAUGGAGAAUACACGAAUGAUGUGUUUUUCAUCUUUUACCGAAACCGACAACUCGUGGAAAAGCCCGUCUAAACUGGAUCAAAGCUAGUGAUCGACCGGAUGAUGAUUUUAACAUGAAUAAAAUCAAAAGACCUACAUAUAUAUGCAGCAAGUAUUUGGCAUGAUAAUAUAGUCCUACGGCUGAAAAUGCUGAUCCAAUCCCAGCACUUUGAGAGACCGAUGAACAGGAAGCAAUUUUCUGCAUCUGCAGAUUCAUCGUCACAAACAGAGUGUAUACCGACAAAUGAAGGGCAAACAAUAUAUGUAAAAAAAAUUGGAAAUGCAAUAAUCGAAAACAAGAUUUAAAAAAAAAACCAAAAAAAACAAAAAAACAAA